UCUUUCGGCUAUAUCACACUGAACAUGCCCAGUCCCAUAUGAUCUCGGAAGCCAAGAAGGAUUGGGCCUGGUUAGUACUUAGAUGGGAGAAAACUUCCCUGCCAAAAACC
rnacentral:rRNA from 1 species